rnacentral:rRNA from 1 species
CGUUGUUCGGAUUUACUGGGCGUCAAGGGCGCGUAGGCGGCAUAUUAAGUCAGCUGUGAAAUCUCCGAGCUUAACUCGGAACUGUCAGCUGAUACUGAUGUGCUAGAGUGCAGAAGGGGCAAUCGGAAUUCUUGGUGUAGCGGUGAAAUGCGUAGAUAUCAAGAGGAACACCUGAGGUGAAGACGGGUUGCUGGGCUGACACUGACGCUGAUAGCGCGAAAGCCAGGGGAGCAAACGGG